UACAGAGGUCCCAAGCGUUGUUCGGAUUCAUUGGGCGUAAAGGGCGCGUAGGUGGCGCCGCAAGUGGGGCGUGAAAUCUCGGGGCUUAACUCCGAAACUGCAUUCCAUACUGCGGUGCUCGAGGACUGGAGAGGAGACUGGAAUUCAUGGUGUAGCAGUGAAAUGCGUAGAGAUCAUGAGGAAGACCAGUGGCGAAGGCGGGUCUCUGGACAGUUCCUGACACUGAGGCACGAAGGCCAGGGGAGCAAACGGG
rnacentral:rRNA from 1 species